rnacentral:tRNA from 1 species
GCAUUGGUGGUUUAGUGGUAGAAUUCUCAUCUUCCAUGCAGGAGACUCGGGUUCGAUUCCUGGCCAAAGCA